GAGCCUAUAGCCUAGUCGUCAUGGCAUCUGCCCGGUAAGCGGAAGGUCGUGGGUUCGAUUCCCAUCCCUUGACACU
rnacentral:tRNA from 1 species